GUUGGCUGUGCUGUGAAGAAGAAGGGGUCAGUGCUGUGAGGAGCUGCACGUGAGCAAUCACUGAGAAGGUGAGAGCAGCAGUUGCUUUGCUUUCUUCAGGGAGAUUGCAAGUUUGGCAGCUCUUAUGCCAGGAGAGAAGGAAAAAGCAAAGGGGGAAAGGUCUGCUCCCUAGGAGAUGCAGGCCACAGGAUCAGAGUCUCAAGCAUCUUUAUCAAGCCCCAAACCCUUCAGGAGAGACAUCUGUCCUAGACAUCUGUCCUUGAUUGAAGGCUCUGAGGGGUAGAGUCCAGCAUUCACCUAAAUUUUCCCAAUGUCCCCCUCUCUGGCAGUCUCCAGACUUUACCUCAGUUUUCUCUUUGGGCAAGGCUACAAAAUUGUUUCCAGGUUUGGCCUUGAGUCUUCAAAGAACUAUUCUGUAGAAUCAAGAAAAUAUUCUCUUUUUUUUUGUUGUUGUUGUUAUUCAUAGCAUUUUUUGUAACUUUUGUUCCCCAACAUCUUUCUGGGAGAACAUAUUGAGGUUAUCUGCAAUUAACUUUAAGGUCUUUUCCGAAGUGGCUCUUGAGCACAGUUUUGAAGUCUGAACUUGCCCUUCUCAAUUUCAGUGUUUGUGACCUCUCCAAAAGCAUGAUGCCCUGUAAGUAAAUCUAUUCUGGUAAUUUUUGGAGCCAG